CCUACGGGGGGCUGCAGUAAGGAAUAUUGGACAAUGGGCGGAAGCCUGAUCCAGCCAUGCCGCGUGAAGGAUGAAGGCGCUCAGCGUUGUAAACUUCUUUUGGAUGGGGACAAUAAUCUCGAUUUAUCGGGACUUGAGGGUACCAUCAGAAUAAGCACCGGCUAACUCCGUGCCAGCAGCCGCGGUAAUACGGAGGGUGCAAGCGUUAUCCGGAAUCACUGGGUUUAAAGGGUGCGUAGGCUGUUAGAUAAGUCAGUUGUGAAAUUCCCCGGCUUAACCGGGCGAACUGCGAUUGAUACUGUUUAACUUGAAUGAGGUUGAGGUAGGCGGAAUGUGGCAUGUAGCGGUGAAAUGCUUAGAUAUGCCAUAGAACACCGAUUGCGAAGGCAGCUUGCUGGGCCUUCAUUGACGCUGAGGCACGAAAGCGUGGGGAGCAAACAGGAUUAGAUACCCGUGUAGUC
rnacentral:rRNA from 1 species